rnacentral:rRNA from 1 species
GACGAACGCUGGCGGCGUGCUUAACACAUGCAAGUCGAACGAAAAGGCCCUGCUUUUGUGGGGUGCUCGAGUGGCGAACGGGUGAGUAACACGUGUGUAACCUGCCCUUGACUUUGGGAUAACUUCAGGAAACUGGGGCUCAUACCGGAUAGGAGCUCCUGCUGCACGGUGGGGGUUGGAGAGUUUCGGCGGUUGGGGCUGGUCUCGCGGCUUAUCAGCUUGUUGGUGUGGUAGUGGCUUACCAAGGCUUUGACGGGUAGCCGGCCUGAGAGGGGGACCGGCCACAUUGGGACUAAGGGACGGCCCAGACUGCUACGGGACGCAGCAGGGGGGAAUAUGGCAGAAUGGGCGGAAGCCUGAUGCAGCAACGCCGCGUGCGGGAAGACGGCCUUCUGGUUGUAAACCGAUUUCGAAUGUGACGAAGCGUGAGUGACGGUAAUGGGUAAAGAAGCACCGGCUAACUACGUG